AUUGAACGCUGGCGGCAUGCUUUACACAUGCAAGUCGAACGAGUGGCGAACGGGUGAGUAAUAUAUCGGAACGUACCGAGUAAUGGGGGAUAACCAAUCGAAAGAUUGGCUAAUACCGCAUAUUAUUCGAGCGGCCGAUAACUGAUUAGCUCGUUGGUGGGGUAAAGGCCUGCCAGGGCGACGAUCAGUAGCGGGUCUGAGAGGACAAUGCGCAACACUGGGCCUGGGACACGGCCCAGACUCCUAAGGUGGGCAGCAGUGGGGAAUUUUGGACGAUGGAGGAAACCCUGAUCCAGCCAUGCCGCGUGUAUGAAGAAGGCCUUCGGGUUGUAAAAUACUUUCAGCGGGGAGGCGUUACCCGCAGAAGAAGCGCCGGCUAACUCCGUGCCAGCAGCCGCGGUAAUUC
rnacentral:rRNA from 1 species